rnacentral:rRNA from 1 species
UACGGGGGGAGCAAGCGUUGUUCGGAUUUACUGGGCGUAAAGGGCGCGUAGGCGGUCAGCACAAGUCAGUUGUGAAAUCUCCGGGCUUAACUCGGAAAGGUCAACUGAUACUGUGCGACUAGAGUGCAGAAGGGGCAACUGGUAUUCUCGGUGUAGCGGUGAAGUGCGUAGAUAUCGAGAGGAACACCUGCGGCGAAGGCGGGUUGCUGGGCUGACACUGACGCUGAGGCGCGAAAGCCAGGGGAGCGAACGGG